UACGGAGGGUGCAAGCGUUGUUCGGAAUCACUGGGCGUAAAGCGCGUGUAGGCGGCUACUUAAGUCUGAUGUGAAAGCCCUGGGCUCAACUCAGGAAGUGCAUUGGAUACUGGGUAGCUGGAGUACCGGAGAGGAGGGUGGAAUUCCUGGUGUAGCGGUGAAAUGCGCAGAUAUCAGGAGGAACACCGGUGGCGAAGGCGGUUCUCUGGGCCUUACCUGACGCUGAGGAGCGAAAGCGUGGGGAGCGAACAGG
rnacentral:rRNA from 1 species